rnacentral:rRNA from 1 species
GAGUUUGAUCGUGGCUCAGGAUGAACGCUAGCGGCAGGCUUAAUACAUGCAAGUCGAGGGGUAACAUGGGUAGCAAUACCUGAUGACGACCGGCAAACGGGUGCGGAACACGUACGCAACCUUCCCAUAACUGGUGAAUAGCCCUCCGAAAGGAGGAUUAAUACACCGUAACAUAAUGAGGUGGCAUCACUUUAUUAUUAUAGGCUUCGGCCGGUUUUGGAUGGGCGUGCGCCUGAUUAGGUAGUUGACGGGGUAACGGCCCACCAAGCCUGCGAUCAGUAACUGGUGUGAGAGCACGACCAGUCACACGGGCACUGAGACACGGGCCCGACUCCUAC